GAGAUAACUCCUACGGGAGGCAGCAGUGGGGAAUUUUGGACAAUGGGGGCAACCCUGAUCCAGCAAUGCCGCGUGAGUGAAGAAGGCCUUCGGGUUGUAAAGCUCUUUUGUCAGGGAAGAAACGGUAGUAGCUAAUAUCUAUUACUAAUGACGGUACCUGAAGAAUAAGCACCGGCUAACUUCGUGCCAGCAGCCGCGGUAAUACGUAGGGUGCAAGCGUUAAUCGGAAUUACUGGGCGUAAAGCGUGCGCAGGCGGUUGUGUAAGUCAGAUGUGAAAUCCCCGGGCUCAACCUGGGAAUUGCAUUUGAGACUGCACGGCGAGAGUGUGUCAGAGGGGGGUAGAAUUCCACGUGUAGCAGUGAAAUGCGUAGAUAUGUGGAGGAAUACCGAUGGCGAAGGCAGCCCCGUGGGAUAACACUGACGCUCAUGCACGAAAGCGUGGGGAGCAAACAGGAUUAGAUACCCUGGUAGUCAUCCACU
rnacentral:rRNA from 1 species